GGGUCAGGAGGUUGGUCGUGCCACCGGUACGUACUGGUCUCACUGAUUCCUCCUUCCUGAAGAACCGUAAUGCCAUUAAUUUGGUGUUGCGGGGAAACAGGACUGUUACUUUGAAAAAAUUAGAGUGUUUAAAGCAAGCUAACGCUUGAAUACAUUAGCAUGGAACAAUGAAAUAGGACGAUCGAUCCUAUUUUGUUGGUUUCUAGGAUUGACGUA
rnacentral:rRNA from 1 species